rnacentral:rRNA from 1 species
CACCUUAUUUGAUUUUCUUCGGAACUGAAGAUUUGGUGAUUGAGUGGCGGACGGGUGAGUAACGCGUGGGUAACCUACCCUGUACAGGGGGAUAACAGUCAGAAAUGACUGCUAAUACCGCCAUCAGACCACAGCACCGCAUGGUGCAGGGUAAAAAACUCCGGUGGUACAGGAUGGACCCGCGUCUGAUUAGCUGGUUGGUGAGGUAACGGCUCACCAAGGCGACGAUCAGUAGCCGGCUUGAGAGAGUGAACGGCCACAUUGGGACUGAGACACGGCCCAAACUCCUACGGGAGGCAGCAGUGGGGAAUAUUGCACAAUGGGGGAAACCCUGAUGCAGCGACGCCGCGUGAGUGAAGAAGUAUCUCGGUAUGUAAAGCUCUAUCAGCAGGGAAGAAAAUGUCGGUACGUGACUAAGAAGCCCCGGCUAACUACGUGCCAGCGGCCGCGGUAAUACGUAGGGGGCAAGCGUUAUCCGGAAUUACUGGGUGUAAAGGGUGCGUAGGUGGUAUGGCAAGUCAGAAGUGAAAACCCAGGGCUUAACUCUGGGACUGCUUUUGAAACUGUCAGACUGGAGUGCAGGAGAGGUAAGCGGAAUUCCUAGUGUAGCGGUGAAAUGCGUAGAUAUUAGGAGGAACAUCAGUGGCGAAGGCGGCUUACUGGACUGAAACUGACACUGAGGCACGAAAGC